UAUCGCGUUGUUAACUUUGCGAGGGCCAUGAAAGUUCAACUAGAUGGCACACCUUGAUUUCUAAAGGCUUAAAAUUAAUCAAGUAAGGGCCAUGGAUUUUGAAAUUUUAUUUGGCAUGGCAUACCUCAAAUUGUUUAUGGAAAACACCAGCAGAAUAGAAUAAAAGGUUAUGGACACAUACAACAGGACUAAUAUUCAAUUUUUCUUUUCCAUACCAAUUAGCAAAUAUCACCAUCUAUUUCUAAAUCAUGCCAGCUCAAUACACAUAUCUCAUCUUAUACAUAAAUUAUGUUGAUAUGCAUCCAAUCUAAAAUUUUUUUUUAAAAAGAAUCAAAUGACACUUUAAACAGUUAGAACUAAAAGAACGAUAUCAAAGUUGCAACAUGAUUAUGCUUAAUCCAUCGUAGCCCGUAAUCGACAAAGAAGAGUCGACCACCGACGGAUCAAUUUUCAGCUCAAAAUACAACACCCAUUUUAAGUACUCAAAGACCGCAUUAACGAUUAUUACGGCUAUACUUCAAUAACGAACACGUCAAAGAGAAGGAGAAAGAAUCCAUAUCAAUUUCAGUCCUGAUUUCCAUACAUGAAAACUCAGCAACAUUAUAUAUUUCUCAAGUGCAAAAUUAGCUCAAAUAAAAUCACAUGGUUAAUUAGUAAUAUUAUACACAUGUUUUCAAGCUCGAAUUAUGACUUUAACAUUGAAUAAACUCCCAAAAGAUCUAAUAGGAAUUUCAUCAAACAGAUUUCAUACAAUAGAAACUCAACUAUAAAGCCAUCUCAGUUAUCACUCAAAUCAACUUUUUGAAUAAUCAAAUCACCAAAUGGAGGGGAAAAGAAAAAAAUGAUGUAUAUUAACUGAUAAGAAGUCACAAAGAAAGACAAAGAUGGUAGUUGACAAUUUUGAACCUUACAUAAAUCCAAUAAUGGUUCAUAGAGGUCCAGAAGUAGUAAAAUGAAAAGCCCAAGCAAUUGGUCAAUGAUUGAGAAACCUCCAUUUAAAGUUAAAUUUCUCCAUACAAAUGUGAGAAAAGUCGAAACAAAACGGUUAGCUAGUCUGCCCUGUUUAACUUGAAAUUCAAAAUAAGGUCAACAAUUACACACGAUAGAUAUAUGCGGUUAAAUCAAAUCAAAAGAUAAACAAAUUUGCCUUUUCAUAUAACAUCCAAACAAAAUAACAUGGGCAUGUAUACAUACCCGAUUGAGCUGAGAUAACAAAAUUGAGAGCCUAAUCCAUCCGAAAAUAGCCAUCUCCUCUAAUUGGAAUCAAACAAACAAUGCAAUGCCCAAAUGAAAACGAGAAUGCAACUGGUAAGGCUCAGCAACAUCAGAUCCAGCAGCGAGAGCAGAAUCGAGCGACCUCAAAAUGCAGCGAAAUCUCGAACGAGCCUAGACUCUUCUUGGGGGGAAUUAAGAUCUGAUUGGAGCUGGUUCAAGGACUCAUUUACAGCUGAGUUUUGUUGAACUAUUUACAUGAUUUUAGUGAGAAAAUUGGACCCUUUUGUGGAGAAAAAUACUUUUGCAUCUUUUUUCAGAGGAGAGCCCCCUGUACAAUUUUUUUCGCGUGUCUUCUUGUAGAGGAGAGGGUCUGCCCG
rnacentral:lncRNA from 1 species